rnacentral:lncRNA from 7 species
GGCGCUUCCCCAUGGGCGGAGGGGCACGCGUCACAGUGAGAGCAUUGUGAUGCAAUCACCCUGCAGAGUAGCAGAAGCACCGCUCCCUGGGCACAGAGAGCACUUGGUGCUGAGCACCGGCACUGCGAGGAGGUGGGAGAGAUUGGGAGAGGAGACUGAAGGCAGAGAGUGCCCCCGGUGCCCUCCAGCCCACAGCGUGGUCAAGGACUGUUGCGAAUCCAUCUGCAGCUGUGCCACUGAGUGGUAAGAAGAAGCCCUGCAGCUUGCCUGGCACCAGGCCUCGUCUCCCCUUCUUGCUGUGCCGGCGCAUGGCCGUGGCGGGUCUGAAAGAGCCUGCCUGUGCCUGCCGGAGGGGGGGAUGAGGCCAUGCCUCACGGCCAUGGGCUGGCAGCUGUACCCAUGCCGGCACUCAUGGCAGAGGCUGCACGUGGGACACCCGGUGUGCCAAAGCACAGCCGGAAAGGAGCACGCGUGAGCUCCCAUGCGCAAUGGCGCACUGGGAUAGGGUUCUGUCCAUGCCAUGCCCACAGCCGUGCCCCUCACACUGAUCUGCCUCCUGUUGUGCGCGCAGGUGAAGCCAUGGCAGAGAAGAACACCUGUGAAAAGCUGAUGGAAGACAACGCUGAGUCAGGCGCACUGCUGCAGGAGCUCAUGGAGGUGUGUGACCCACCUGCAGAAACCCCGCAGGGCAGAGCUGCUGGGCCACGCAGCCAGGGCGCCGCAGGGCUUGCUGUCCUGCUCCACCCUGGCCUUGCUGUGCGCUGGCAAUGGGCUGCAAACACCCUUUCCCACCCUGCAUCCAUGCAACUGGUCCCAAUUGCCUUGCAGUAUAAGAAGAGGUCUGCAGAGCUGGCAGCUGUUCUCCGAGAGCAGACCAAAGUCCGUGAGGUAUGCAGGGUGGGAGGGAGAGAAUGGAGAGCAGCACAUUGAUCGGGGAAAGCCCCCUGCCAGCAGACACAGGACGGGCUCUUGACCGGACCCUUUCCUUCUCCAGGCACUGACGGAGGACGUGGAGAUGGAGAUGAAAAAACUCCAGAAGGCACAACGGAGGGUCGAAAAGCGCACUGCCCCGUAAGUAGCAGCACAG